CAGCACUUAGAGAGCUUCCAGAUAGCCGAACAUAUGGGUGCUCCUGGAAGGUAGAGUGCCCAGGAAGGACAUGGAGACUCUCUACUCCUUCCCCCAUACCUUGCCCUACACAUCUCUUCAUUGGCACGGUGGCUCACGCCUGUAAUCGCAGCACUUUGGGAGACCAAAGCAGAUGAAUCACCUGAGGUCAAGAGUUCAAGACCAGCCUGGCCAACACGAAAGAAGCUCUCACAGUGGAAGACUAUAAUAUGACAUAAGAAGAAAUGUGGACUUGGAGAUACAGAAGAGUUUCACUCUGCCAUUCAGGCUGCAGUGCAGUGGUGCGAUCUCAAUUCAUUGCAGCCUCGACCGCCCAGAUUCAAGCAAUCCUCCCGCUUCAGCCUCCCAAGCAGCUGGGACUACAGGCACACACCAUGUCGAUAAUUUAAAUCAACCUUAUUCAUUUUAACUGCUACAUAGCAUUGCAGCAUAUAAAUAUACCACAGUGUGUAAUCCAUUCUCCUCUUUGUAGGCAUUUACACGAUUUACAAUUUUGUAUGAUUAGAAAAUAAACCACAAUGAAUAUUGUUGCACAUGAGUUCAAAAGUUUCUGUGAAGAACAAACCUAAAAGUAGAAGGUUAGAGCAUACAUAUUUUCAGCUUUAGAGAAUACUACCAAACUCCUAUAUAUAAUUUUUACCAAUAUGCUCUCUCAGCAGUAGCACUGAGAGUUCUUAUUUCUUCCAAACCUUGACUAUACUUAAUGUUACCAGACCUUAGAAUUUUGUCAUGAUGAUGGGCAUGAAGUGGUAAAACAAGGACAUUUUAUAAAAGUAUCCAUACAUAAUAAAAACAUAACAUUCAUAAAUGUAGGCAAUAUAAAAAUUUAUCAGGUAAAAAAUAUUAGAUUAUAACAGCUGUGAGUGGUAGCUCACGACUGUACUCCCAGCACAUUAGGAGGCCAAGGUGGGCGGAUCACUUGAGGUCAGGAGUUCAAGAACAGCCUGGCCAACAUGGGAAAUCCUGUCUUGACCAAAAAUACAAAAAUUAGCCAGAUGUGGUGGUGCACACCUGUAAUCACAGCUACUCGGGUGGCUGAGGCAGGAGAAUCACUUGAAACCGGGAGGCAGAAGUUGCAGUGAGCCGAGACCACACCACUGCACUCCAG
rnacentral:lncRNA from 1 species